AGGACGAACGCUGGCGGCGUGCUUAACACAUGCAAGUCGAGCGGUAAGGCCUUUCGGGGUACACGAGCGGCGAACGGGUGAGUAACACGUGGGUGAUCUGCCCUGCACUCUGGGAUAAGCCUGGGAAACUGGGUCUAAUACCGGAUAUGACCUGCUCUCGCAGUGGGGGUGGGUGGAAAGAUUUAUCGGUGCAGGAUGGGCCCGCGGCCUAUCAGCUUGGUUGGUGGGGUAAUCGGCCUAACCAAGGCGACGGACGGGUAGCCGACCUGAGAGGGUGACCGGCCACACGUGGGACUGAGACACGGCCAGACUCUACGGAGCAGCAGUGGGAAUAUGCACAAGUGGGACAAAGCUGAUGCAGGCCGAACGCGCGUGA
rnacentral:rRNA from 1 species